AGCGAACGCUGGCGGCAGGCUUAACACAUGCAAGUCGAACGCCCCGCAAGGGGAGUGGCAGACGGGUGAGUAACACGUGGGAACGUACCCUUUGGUUCGGAAUAACUUGGGGAAACUCAAGCUAAUACCGGAUAAGCCCUUAUGGGGAAAGGUUUACUGCCGAAGGAUCGGCCCGCGUCUGAUUAGCCAGUUGGUGAGGUAAUGGCUCACCAAGGCGACGAUCAGUAGCUGGUCUGAGAGGAUGAUCAGCCACACUGGGACUGAGACACGGCCCAGACUCCUACGGGAGGCAGCAGUGGGGAAUAUUGGACAAUGGGGGCAACCCUGAUCCAGCCAUGCCGCGUGAGUGAUGAAGGCCUUAGGGUUGUAAAGCUCUUUUACCCGGGACGAUAAUGACUGUACCGGGAGGAUAAGCCCCGGCUAACUUCGUGCCAGCAGCCGCCGCAG
rnacentral:rRNA from 1 species